GCGGGGAAUAGCCCAGAGAAAUUUGGAUUAAUACCCCAUAAUAUAUUUGAUAAGGCAUCUUAUUAAUAUUAAAGCUUCGGCACUUGAUGAUGGGUGUGCGGCUGAUUAGAUAGUUGGCGGGGUAACGGCCCACCAAGUCUACGAUCAGUAGCUGAUGUGAGAGCAUGAUCAGCCACACGGGCACUGAGACACGGGCCCGACUCCUACGGGAGGCAGCAGUAAGGAAUAUUGGACAAUGGACGAAAGUCUGAUCCAGCCAUGCCGCGUGAAGGAUUAAGGUCCUCUGGAUUGUAAACUUCUUUUAUAUGGGACGAAAAAGGGCAUUCUUGUUCACUUGACGGUACCAUAUGAAUAAGCACCGGCUAACUCCGUG
rnacentral:rRNA from 1 species